GCAGUGUCCCGGCUUGUCGCUGGUGUCAACCACCUCUGUCGGAAGAAAGAGGGUAGGGCACGAGAGGAAAGUCCGGGCGGCAAAGGGCACCCCACUUCUGAAAAUGGAAGCAAUUGGUGACAGUUGGUGUCGGAAGAAGAGAAUGACCGCCUUGCGUUUGAAAGAUAUUCGUAUCCAGUGAGGUAAGGGUGAGAAGGUGGUGUAAGAGACCACCAGCCACUGGGUGAUCAGUGGGCUGUUCCAUCUGGGGGCUGCAAGUUCAUGUAUACCAUCGUCUGAGGGCUGCCCGUCCGAGUCAUACGAUGGAGGGUAGAACGCUAGAGCCGCAGGGUGACUUGCGGAGUAGAUAAAUGACAGGCAUCUUUCCUUUAGGAAGGAGACAGAACCCGGCUUAUAGGGGCAGUGCUUUC
rnacentral:RNase_P_RNA from 1 species